UCAAGCGUGAGGUAAGAGCAUUUGGUGGAUGCCUUGGCAUGUACAGGCGAUGAAGGACGUGGCACGCUGCGAUAAGCGUCGGGGAGUUGUGAGCAAACUUUGAUCCGGCGAUUUCCGAAUGGGGAAACCCACCUUCACCAUUUCUUCCGAUGGUUGCGUCAAGCAAUUAUGGGGAGAGGUGGAUAGGUAUCACCGAGCUGAAUACAUAGGCUUGGUGAAGCGAACCCGGGGAACUGAAACAUCUCAGUACCUGGAGGAAAAGACAUCAACCGAGAUUCCGUUAGUAGUGGCGAGCGAACGCGGACCAGGCCAGUGCCUUCUCUUCAGCAAGCAGAACACUUUGGAAAGAGUGGCCAUAGCGGGUGAUAGCCCCGUAUGCGAAUGCGAUGGAGAAGGACUUGAGUAGGGCGGGACACGUGAAAUCCUGUCUGAACAUAGGGGGACCACCCUCUAAGCCUAAAUACUCGUACAUGACCGAUAGCGAACAUAGUACCGUGAGGGAAAGGUGAAAAGCACCCCGAUGAGGGGAGUGAAACAGUACCUGAAACCGAAUGCUUACAAGCAGUUGGAGCCUCUUUAGGGGGUGACAGCGUACCUCUUGCAUAAUGGGUCAGUGACUUAGUGUAUCAUGCGAGCUUAAGCCGUUAGGUGUAGGCGCAGCGAAAGCGAGUCUGAAUAGGGCGAUAGAGUAUGAUGCAUUAGACCCGAAACCCGGUGAUCUAGGCAUGACCAGGUUGAAGGUGCGGUAACACGCACUGGAGGACCGAACCGUUCAAUGUUGAAAAAUUGUCGGAUGAGUUGUGUUUAGGGGUGAAAGGCCAAUCAAACCGGGAAAUAGCUGGUUCUCCGCGAAAUCUAUUGAGGUAGAGCGUCGGAUAAUUGCCGUUGGGGGUAGAGCACUGGAUGGUUGCGGGGGUCGCGAGAUCUACCAAUACUAACCAAACUCCGAAUACCAACGAGUCUAGUCCGGCAGACAGACGGCGGGUGCUAAGGUCCGUCGUCAAAAGGGAAACAGCCCUAACCUACAGCUAAGGUCCCCAAGUCAUCACUAAGUGGGAAAGCAUGUGGGAAUCCCAAAACAACCAGGAGGUUGGCUUAGAAGCAGCCAUCCUUUAAAGAAAGCGUAACAGCUCACUGGUCUAAAUAAGGGUUCCUGCGGCGAAAAUGUAACGGGGCUAAAGUGAUGCACCGAAGCUUAGGGUUCAGUCUUUGACUGAGCGGUAGCGGAGCGUUCCGUAGGCCUGUGAAGCGAUCUGGUAAUGGGUCGUGGAGGUAUCGGAAGUGCGAAUGCUGACAUGAGUAGCGACAAGGAGUGUGAGAUGCACUCCCGCCGAAAGACCAAGGGUUCCUGCUUAAAGCUAAUCUGAGCAGGGUGAGCCGGCCCCUAAGACGAGCCCGAAGGGGGUAGUCGAUGGGAACCACGUUAAUAUUCGUGGGCCUGGUGGUGUGUGACGGAUCUCUUACAUUGUAUGUCCUUAUCGGAUUGGACAUGCCUUCACGAGGUUCCAGGAAAUAGCCCCACCGUAUAGACCGUACCCGAAACCGACACAGGUGGUCAGGUAGAGUAUACCAAGGCGCUUGAGAGAAGUAUCCUGAAGGAACUCGGCAAAUUGCCUCCGUACCUUCGGAAGAAGGAGGCCCCAUUUAUGCGCAAGCAUUUGUGGGGGGCACAGGCCAGGGGGUAGCGACUGUUUAGCAAAAACACAGCACUCUGCUAAGUCGGCUUCAAGACGACGUAUAGGGUGUGACGCCUGCCCGGUGCUGCUCGAAGGUUAAGAGGAGGAGUGCAAGCUCCGAAUUGAAGCCCGAGUAAACGGCGGCCGUAACUAUAACGGUCCUAAGGUAGCGAAAUUCCUUGUCGGGUAAGUUC
rnacentral:rRNA from 1 species